rnacentral:tRNA from 1 species
GCCGGGAUAGUUCAACGGUAGAAUUCGGGACUGUGGAUCCUGAGGCCAGGGUUCAACUCCCUGUCCCGGCACCA